AUUGAACGCUGGCGGCAUGCUUUACACAUGCAAGUCGAACGGUAACAGGGUGCUUGCACCGCUGACGAGUGGCGAACGGGUGAGUAAUGCGUCGGAACGUGCCGAGUAGUGGGGGAUAACGCAGCGAAAGCUGUGCUAAUACCGCAUACGUACUGAGGUAGAAAGUGGGGGACCUUCGGGCCUCACGCUAUUCGAGCGGCCGCCGUCCGAUUAGCUAGUAGGUGAGGUAAAGGCUCACCUAGGCGACGAUCCGUAGCGGGUCUGAGAGGAUGAUCCGCCACACUGGGACUGAGACACGGCCCAGACUCCUACGGGAGGCAGCAGUGGGGAAUUUUGGACAAUGGGCGAAAGCCUGAUCCAGCCAUGCCGCGUGUCUGAAGAAGGCCUUCGGGUUGUAAAGGACUUUUGUCAGGGAGGAAAUCCCUAGUGCUAAUAACACUGGGGGAUGACAGUACCUGAAGAAUAAGCACCGGCUAACUACGUGCCAGCCGCCGCCGUAA
rnacentral:rRNA from 1 species